GGAGAACCCCCUGUCGCCCAGCGCUGCAUUGCCUCCUUGUUUUGCUGCUAUGAUUAAUAAAAUUUGUUAAUUAGCUGCUAAUUUGACUCUUAUUAAUCAAUAUAAUCAAUAACAAUUGGUGCCGUGACUCGGAUGGGAAUAUUGGUGAGCUAUUGAGGUUUGGGGAGGCGCCCCGCUGUAACCUGCGGCCCCAGCUUCGGUUGCUUGCCCUACUUCCACCGACGAACCCAAAUUAAAACAGGGAGGCAAGGAAGGACCGGUCGACCCCUUAAAUUUUGUGCACAAAAGUCCGGACGAAGACGCGGAACGUGGACGCGUCAAGCCAGGGGAUUGGGUUCUCAUAAAAACGUGGAAAGAGACCACUCUACAACCUCGCUGGGAAGGACCGUACCUGGUGCUUUUGACCACCAACACAGCCAUCCGAACUGCUGAGAAGGGAUGGACUCAUGCCAGCCGUAUUAAAGGACCAGUGAGCAAUAGAGAGUGGAUGGUCACUAGUCCUGCGGGAGACUUGAAGACAAAAUUGUCCAAGAGACCACGGCAAUAAUAAGGGACAUUAAAAUUUCAGAGUUUAAUGAACAAGAGCAACCAAAAUAGAACUUUUGUAAUUAAACACCUGUCUAAGGCACUUAAAUUUAAUGAGCAAGGAAACAUUUAUAACAAAGAUGUGGGUGUAAUAUGCACCGAUAUUAGUUGUGGGGGAAAUUGCUAUCCAUUUGUUUGUUUUAUUUGUUUAGUUUGUAAGGAAAAGUGGUGGACCCAUUGCAGAAACGGACAUCCCCCUCGAGGAGUGUGCCGGCCGUGCUGGACAUUCCAGCGAGAAUUAACUGAUUGGGUAUUAGCUCAAAGAGUCAAAACAGG